rnacentral:tRNA from 1 species
CAGAACAUAGCUUAAAAAANGCACUUCGUUUACACCGAAUUAAUGUCCGUUAAACUCAGACUGUUCCGA